CCGACUGCUAUCAGAGUGGGACUAAGCCAUGCGAGUCAACGUAGAAAUACGUGGCAAACGGCUCAGUAACACGUAGUCAACAUGCCCAGGGGACGUGGAUAACCUCGGGAAACUGAGGAUAAACCGCGAUAGGCCAAGGUUUCUGGAAUGAGCCAUGGCCUAAAUCUAUAUGGCCUUUGGAUUGGACUGCGGCCGAUCAGGCUGUCGGUGAGGUAAUGGCCCACCAAACCUGUUACCGGUACGGGCUUUGAGAGGAGGAGCCCGGAGAUGGGCACUGAGACAAGGGCCCAGGCCCUAUGGGGCGCAGCAGGCGCGAAAUCUCUGCAAUAGGCGAAAGCUUGACAGGGUUACUCUGAGUGAUUCCCGCUAAGGGGAUCUUUUGGCACCUCUAAAAAUGGUGCAGAAUAAGGGGUGGGCCAAGUUUUGGUGUCAGCCGCCGCGGUAAUACCAGCACCCCGAGUGGUCGGGACGAUUAUUGGGCCUAAAGCAUCCGUAGCCAGUACUGCAAGUCUUCCGUUAAAUCCACCUGCUCAACAGUUGGGCUGCGGAGGAUACUACAGCGCUAGGAGGCGGGAGAGGCAAGCGGUACUCAGUGGGUAGGGGUAAAAUCCACUGAUCCAUUGAAGACCACCAGUGGCGAAGGCGGCUUGCCAGAACGCACUCGACGGUGAGGGAUGAAAGCUGGGGGAGCAAACCGGAUUAGAUACCCGGGUAGUCCCAGCUGUAAACGAUGCAGACUCGGUGAUGGGCUGGCCUUGUGCCAGCCCAGUG
rnacentral:rRNA from 1 species